rnacentral:rRNA from 1 species
AAUCAACGCUGGCGGCGUGCCUCAGACAUGCAAGUCGAACGAUUAAAGCUCUCUUCGGAGAGUGUAUAGAGUGGCGCACGGGUGAGUAACACGUAAGUAAUCUACCUUUGAGUGGGAAGUAACAGUCGGAACGACUGCUAAUACCGCAUAAUGCAGCGGCAUCGCAAGAUGACAGUUGUUAAAGGAGCAAUCCGCUUAAAGAGGAGCUGUCGGCAGAUUAGCUAGUUGGUAAGGUAAUGGCUUACCAAGGCUACGAUCUGUAUCCGGUCUAAGAGGACGGUCGGACACACUGACACUGAAUAACGGGUCAGACUCCUAC